GGUUGGCCCAGGGAUUAUAAGGAAGUGCAUGAGUAUUUAAGAAACUUUAAAUUCUGGGGGUGAAAAGUGGAAUGUUAACCUAAAAAAAUUAUUUGUGUGGAUGUCUUGGCUGCGUGUCUGGAUGCCUCAGAGACUAGAAAAGGACGUCACAUUCCCUGGAGCUGCAGGUCACGGGGAACAGCCUGGGAGGAUCCUUGGAGCUGGAACCUGUGGCAGCCUCCUGUGUCAGCACAGACAGUCAACUGCUCAUCUUCAAAGCAGCAACUGAAAACUGUAAGAAGAAAUCCUAACUCUGGAAGAUAUUGUAAUGCCUAAAGGAGAAGUGAAGCUACUGACCUGGGGGAGGAGAUGGAGGUGCUGCACGCUGAGCCCCUGGAGUCCCGGAUGCCUUUAAAAUCAAGUAGACCCUCGAUGUGUCCAUUGCAAAUAGGAGACAUGACACUGAACCUGUGAGCAGGGACAAACUCCAAGUUCUGUGAGGUGAAAUGAGCAAAGGGAGGUCCCCUGUGAACACUCAGCUGUGAGUCCACGCCCACCCACACUGGUAGCUGAAGGUUUCUCCAUAGUUACUGACCUUGGUGUCUGUGCGGCUCCCACAGUUUACACACUAUUGCCUUUUUUCUUUCUUAUUAUUCCUCACUCAUACAAUACAUCCCAACUACAGCCUCUCCCUCUCUUCCUCCCAGUUCACCCCCACCUUCCUUCUCCCCCAGACCCACUUUUCUUCCAUUUCCCUUCAGAAAAAGAGCAGACCUUCCAGGGAUAUCAACCAAAUACAGGAUAACAAGAUGCAGUAAGACUAGGUACAGAUCCUCAUAUCAAGCCUUGACAAGGCAACCCAGUAGGAGAAAAAGGGUCCCAUGAGAAGGCCAAAGAGUCAGAGUCACCCCCAACUCCCACUGUUAGGAGUCCCACAAACACUCCAAGCUGAACUACCAAGGAAAAUAUGUAGAGGACCUAGUGUAGACCCACACAGGCUCCAUGGCUGCUGCUUGAGCUUGUGUGAGCCCCAUGAGCCCUGCUUAGUUGAUUCUGUGCUCCGUGUUCUCCUGGUGUCCUCUACCCCUCUGGCUCCCACAAUCCUUUCUCCCCACCUCUCCUGCAGUUCCUGGAACUCCACCUAACAUUUGGCCAUGAGUCUCUGCAUCUUCUCCCAUCACAUGUAUUUUCUUAAUAAAACAAUUUGUAUCA